AGUCCUCAAGCAGUCUCUGUCAGAUUCGCGCGCUUUAUCAGUUAGAGGUGUGGAGAGCUGUGCAGACGCGCGCGAUGAGGGCUGGUUGGUUAACCUGCCAUUGAUAUGCAAAUAUAAUUAAGUGAAGUUACACACGAAGAUAAAAGUAAUAUUUGAAGCUCGGCAUCAUCGCAAUCUAUAAACGUCAGUUUGGAGGCGGAUAUCCGAUUCCACAUCAACACUCUCGGCUAUAAGACAAUUUGUGAACACGAGCCCAGAUGCCGAAGCCUGUCUCCUCCAGCUCGAACCUCCCUUCGGUGCCAGCUCUCUUCUCCCAGCAUAUUUUUUUCUCAGUUGGAUCACAGCAGUGCAGCGAGGACUAAAAAAAUCGAAAGUAAAGACCACGUCAUGGUGAACUCCAACCCUGUAAUGAGAACCAGUGAGGAACCCAGAUGAAACAGGACUGCUGUCCUCUCCACUCAUUCUACUUGUUAUCAUAUCCCAGGAGUUGACAUGGCACAGUGUGCAGCCAGGUUUGAAACAUGACACCCUCAUCGAACCCCUGGAGUCCCGUGGGAGCCCCUCAGACAGACUUACUCAAGCUUCAGAGAUGAAAAUCAAUAAACAAUCUGAAGUUCUCAGAAAACAUUUGUUUCUGUAGUUUAAUGAAUAUACAAGCUCAGUGUUUCCAAAGAUCUGAAGAUUUAAGUGUUUGCUCUCCACCGUUUGUUUACCUUUUUAAAAUAUUUAUAUUUAAUAAUAUGUGAUAUGUGAGUAAGC